GAUGAAGAACGCAGCGAAAUGCGAUAAGUAAUGUGAAUUGCAGAAUUCAGUGAAUCAUCGAAUCUUUGAACGCACAUUGCGCCCGCCAGCAUUCUGGCGGGCAUGCCUGUUCGAGCGUCAUUUCAACCCUCGAGCCCCCCCGGGGGCCUCGGUGUUGGGGGACGGCACACCAGCCGCCCCCGAAAUGCAGUGGCGACCCCGCCGCAGCCUCCCCUGCGUAGUAGCACACACCUCGCACCGGAGCGCGGAGGCGGUCACGCCGUAAAACGCCCAACUCUUCUGAAGUUGACCUCGAAUCAGGUAGGAAUACCCGCUGAACUUAAGCAUAUCAAUAAGCGGAGGA
rnacentral:misc_RNA from 1 species